rnacentral:rRNA from 1 species
AUUGAACGCUGGCGGCAGGCCUAACACAUGCAAGUCGAGCGGAUGAAGGGAGCUUGCUCCUGGAUUCAGCGGCGGACGGGUGAGUAAUGCCUAGGAAUCUGCCUGGUAGUGGGGGCUAACGUCCGGAAACGGGCGCUAAUACCGCAUACGUCCUGAGGGAGAAAGUGGGGGAUCUUCGGACCUCACGCUAUCAGAUGAGCCUAGGUCGGAUUAGCUAGUUGGUGGGGUAAAGGCCUACCAAGGCGACGAUCCGUAACUGGUCUGAGAGGAUGAUCAGUCACACUGGAACUGAGACACGGUCCAGACUCCUACGGGAGGCAGCAGUGGGGAAUAUUGGACAAUGGGCGAAAGCCUGAUCCAGCCAUGCCGCGUGUGUGAAGAAGGUCUUCGGAUUGUAAAGCACUUUUAGUUGGGAGGAAGGGCAGUAAGUUAAUACCUUGCUGUUUUGACGGUACCAACAGAAUAAGCACCGGCUAACUUCGUG